UUAAACCGCCCUCGGGCGGACAUAGAGUGGCGAACGGGUGAGUAACACGUGACCAACCUGCCCCGCGCUCCGGGACAACCGCUGGAAACGGCGGCUAAUACCGGAUACUCCGGGAGGGCCCCAUGGCCCUGCCGGGAAAGCCGAGACGGCGCGGGAUGGGGUCGCGGCCCAUUAGGUAGACGGCGGGGUAACGGCCCACCGUGCCCGCGAUGGGUAGCCGGACUGAGAGGUCGACCGGCCACAUUGGGACUGAGAUACGGCCCAGACUCCUACGGGAGGCAGCAG
rnacentral:rRNA from 1 species